CUUGAAGAUGGAGCCCAAGACGAAGGGACUAAAGCAACAGCAGCAGCAGCAUAAGAAACUCCUGGCUGCAAUGCUCUCCCAGGAUUCCUUCGAGUCCAUCCACAGCCCCACGCCAUCUGUAAUAGAAGAAGACAUUGACAAUGAAGACGAUGCAAUGGAGUUGCUGGGUAAUUUUAAAAAUUAAUCACUUCUCUUUUCUCUUCUUUUCCGGCAUUGGAAAAGUGUGAAGGGAUUGAGGUGGGUUGGGGUGGGGGAAGUGUUAAACAUUUUGCAUAGUCCUGUCCGAGGCAAAGGGAUCCCUUUAACCUACACUUUCUUUCCAUUAGAGUUUUAUGAAGUUGCAUGUAAGAACUAAACUGAACCCAUGGAAGCAUGAGAAACAUUCCCUAGACUGUACUAUGUGCUUUGUGUAUACAGCACUCGUUCUAUCCUCUGACUUCAUUGAGCUUUAUUCUGUGUGCAAUGUGACAGGAGGCAAAUCUGUCUGUUUUGUUUUUUUAUUAGACCUGUUGUCUAUAAAAUACACCCACCUUCUAAGAAAGUCUUGUGAUUAUAAGGUUGCUUUAGAAGAAAAUCACAGAGUUGAAAGAUGUUGGCCGUAGAUUAAUGUUGGACACCUUUCGAACGUUAGGGAGCCUUGCAGAGAUUGCGAAGUCUGCCGACUCAUUGCCUUCACACACCUUCACUAACUUUGUAGGUACACUUCUUCUCUGUUUUUUUGCUUUUUUAUUUUUAGUGAUU
rnacentral:lncRNA from 1 species